rnacentral:tRNA from 1 species
GCCUGGGUGGCUCAGUCAGUUGGGCAUCUGAUUUCGGCUCAGGUCAUGAUCUUGCGGUCUCUGGGUUCAAGCCCCACAUCAGGCU